rnacentral:rRNA from 1 species
AGUCGAACGAUGAAGCUGGAGCUUGCUCCGGUGGAUUAGUGGCGAACGGGUGAGUAACACGUGAGAAAUCUGCCCUUGACUCUGGGAUAACUGCGGGAAACUGUAGCUAAUACCGGAUACUUUCCGAGGUGGGCAUCCACUUCGGAAGAAAGAAUUUCGGUCAAGGAUGAUCUCGCGGCCUAUCAGCUAGUUGGUGAGGUAACGGCUCACCAAGGCGACGACGGGUAGCCGGCCUGGGAGGGUGACCGGCCACACUGGGACUGAGACACGGCCCAGACUCCUACGGGAGGCAGCAGUGGGGAAUAUUGCACAAUGGGCGCAAGCCUGAUGCAGCAACGCCGCGUGAGGGAUGACGGCCUUCGGGUUGUAAACCUCUUUUA